rnacentral:rRNA from 1 species
GGGUCAGAGCAAGUCGUAACAGGUAGCCGUAGAGUUUGAUCCUGGCUCAGACUCGAACCUGCCUGGGAAUGCGGGAAGUUUUCCGGAAACGGGCGCUAAUACCGCAUACGUCCUGAGGGAGAAAGUGGGGGAUCUUCGGACCUCACGCUAUCAGAUGAGCCUAGGUCGGAUUAGCUAGUUGGUGGGGUAAAGGCCUACCAAGGCGACGAUCCGUAACUGGUCUGAGAGGAUGAUCAGUCACACUGGAACUGAGACACGGUCCAGACUCCUACGGGAGGCAGCAGUGGGGAAUAUUGGACAAUGGGCGAAAGCCUGAUCCAGCCAUGCCGCGUGUGUGAAGAAGGUCUUCGGAUUGUAAAGCACUUUAAGUUGGGAGGAAGGGCAGUAAGUUAAUACCUUGCUGUUUUGACGUUACCAACAGAAUAAGCACCGGCUAACUUCGUGCCAGCAGCCGCGGUAAUACGAAGGGUGCAAGCGUUAAUCGGAAUUACUGGGCGUAAAGCGCGCGUAGGUGGUUCAGCAAGUUGGAUGUGAAAUCCCCGGGCUCAACCUGGGAACUGCAUCCAAAACUACUGAGCUAGAGUACGGUAGAGGGUGGUGGAAUUUCCUGUGUAGCGGUGAAAUGCGUAGAUAUAGGAAGGAACACCAGUGGCGAAGGCGACCACCUGGACUGAUACUGACACUGAGGUGCGAAAGCGUGGGGAGCAAACAGGAUUAGAUACUCUGGUAGUCCACGCCGUAAACGAUGUCGACUAGCCGUUGGGAUCCUUGAGAUCUUAGUGGCGCAGCUAACGCGAUAAGUCGACCGCCUGGGGAGUACCGGCCGCAAGGUUAAACUCAAAUGAAUUGACGGGGGCCCGCACAAGCGGUGAGCAUGUGGUUUAAUUCGAUGCAACGCGAAUACCUUA